rnacentral:rRNA from 1 species
CGUGAGACAGUUCGGUCCCUAUCUGCCGUAGGCGUUCGAGAUUUGAGAGGAUCUGUCCUUAGUACGAGAGGACCGGGAUGGACGCACCUCUGGUGUUCCGGUUGUCACGCCAGUGGCAUUGCCGGGUAGCUACGUGCGGAAGGGAUAAGCGCUGAAAGCAUCUAAGCGCGAAGCCCACCUCAAGAUGAGAUCUCGCUAGCCCCUUGAGGGCUCUUAAGGGUCGUCCAAGACGAGGACGUUGAUAGGCCAGAUGUGUAAGCACGGCAACGUGUUCAGCUUACUGGUACUAAUUGCCCGUGAGGCUUGGUCAUAUAACGCUCAAGC